AAGAGUUCCUAUAACUCCCAAACCCCUGUGAACAUACCUUCUGUUGCCUCGGCAGGCCCUGGCCUACCCUGUAGCGCCCCUACGCUGUAGGGCCUGCUUAGGGGAGCGCCGGGGGGCCCUGCCGGCGGCCCACGAAACUCUGUUUAGCAUUGAAUUCUGAACGUAUAACUAAAUAAGUUA
rnacentral:misc_RNA from 1 species